UACGUAGGGUGCGAGCGUUAAUCGGAAUUACUGGGCGUAAAGUGUGCGCAGGCGGCCGCGCAAGUCGAGUGUGAAAGCCCCGAGCUUAACUUGGGAACUGCGCUCGAAACUACGUGGCUGGAGUGUGGCAGAGGAAGGUGGAAUUCCAGGUGUAGCAGUGAAAUGCGUAGAUAUCGGGAGGAACACCAGUGGCGAAGGCGGCUUUCUGGUCUGCUCUUGACGCUGAGGCGCGAAAGCUAGGGUAGCAAACGGG
rnacentral:rRNA from 1 species